rnacentral:rRNA from 1 species
UGAGGAAUAUUGGUCAAUGGGCGCGAGCCUGAACCAGCCAAGUAGCGUGAAGGAUGACUGCCCUACGGGUUGUAAACUUCUUUUAUAAAGGAAUAAAGUGAGGCACGUGUGCCUUUUUGUAUGUACUUUAUGAAUAAGGAUCGGCUAACUCCGUGCCAGCAGCCGCGGUAAUACGGAGGAUCCGAGCGUUAUCCGGAUUUAUUGGGUUUAAAGGGAGCGUAGAUGGGUUGUUAAGUCAGUUGUGAAAGUUUGCGGCUCAACCGUAAAAUUGCAAUUGAUACCGGCAGUCUUGAGUACAGUUGAGGUAGGCGGAAUUCGUGGUGUAGCGGUGAAAUGCUUAGAUAUCACGAAGAACUCCGAUUGCGAAGGCAGCUUACUAAACUGCCACUGACAUUGAUGCUCGAAAGUGUGGGUAUCAAACAGG